rnacentral:lncRNA from 1 species
AAGGCCAAGUCCAGAUCUUGAGUGAGUACAAAUCCACGAGGAAGCAGAGAUGAGCAAGGCUCAACAAUUCAUUUGGACCUUGACUGAUUUUUUUCAAGCUUCCCUUGAAAUGGCAGCAGAGGGACUAACAAGAACAUGAGCUGCAAGGAUAAAGAGACAGCAAAGGAGAAGAGAACAAUAAAAUCUCAGACCUGGGGAGCACAGGGAACAGCUGAACCGACUGAGGAGACCGGGGAGAUGAAAACUGGGCGUUGCAGGAAGGUUCCCCAAACCCCGAGGUCUUCAGUACAAAAUGUGAGGCUGCAGAAUUGGGGGCCCAGGUACUUCUACGUGUGGGUGCGCAAGUGACGCUGGAAACUGGAAGGCUGCCUGAGAGUCUGCGCCAGAAGCUCUGGAUCCUCAGAUUCCCUCCCUCGUACAACCGGAGCAACUGGGCGACUUUGCUCUACAAAGAAGCGGAGCAACGCCUUCCGAAUUCUCAGCGAAGGAGUUCCCAUCCUGGUGGAGUGGAAACGAAUCCAGCAAGGAUCCAUGAGGAACCAUUUCAACUCCCUAUUUGGUUGGCCUUCUUUGAGAUUCUCUCCAGAUCCACGGCCCUUCCACCCCGAGUCCCUGCAUCCAGAGCGGCAGCGAGUGCCUCUCUAAAGAGAAAGCUCUCUCCGCCACAUCUUUCUUGAGAACAAAUUUGCUCCAUUCCUAUCUUCUUGGCGGUGUCUGGCCCUGACAGAGAGAAGCUACCGCUCAGCAUCAGAAAUAGUUUUGGUGCCAAUGUCCUAAUGACACAGGGAUGGCAGCCUUCACGGAGGAAAAAAGACGAAUGUCAAUUAGCACAUACUCUUGAACACGCGCCAGCAACGUCUCAAAGCAAAAGCCAGUAGCCAUGGAUCAAGAGUUCCUCCAGCACACUUUUCUUCCUUUGUUUUGUCUUCUUUUAAAUUAGCCAACCUAAAUAUAUAUAAAUAGGAGCUCAGACACCUCUCACACCCCUCCUCCCUCCCCCCCAUCAAUGAGUGGUCCCUCUGGAACUCAGGACCUCAGAACUCGGACAUUCUCAAAGCCAGGGUGGCCUCCAACGUCGCAGAGUUACUUAAUGAUCUUUAAAUGCUAUUGGCCCAGCCGUAAUUCCUCAUCCCUGGCCUGAACUCUUUCCUCUCCCCUCCCCUGCACAGAAGAGCCAUGCCUCAGUGGUUUCUCCUGGGAGUUUGCUGGUCUUCAGUUCUGCCAUGGAAGGAAUGCCAUUUGGACCCCACCCCACCCCCCAGGACCUCCGAGGUCCUGGCCGCGGCCACCAAAGUGGGCAUCCUUGCUUGUGCUCCCCAGUGCCCUGUGCGUCUCUCUCCCCCAAGCUUCUUGUAGAGAUACUUUCCUGCCUGGGGGAGACGGGGCAAGCCCUGUUGGUUGUCAUGGGAACCAAGGUUAACUGGGCACCCUGGAUUUCAGUUCUGAUGUUGGCAGCAUGCCUCAGCAAGGGUCUUCAGCACAGCUCCCCCAGGUGACACAACUUUCUCAAAUGUAGAAUGCUGAUCAGCUGCCCGACUCCACCCGGCACUUCCUUCCCCGUGUGUGGUCUUAGGCUUUUCUCUAGUGUGGUGCAAACCCUGCAGGAGUGGGGUGUAGCCCCCUCUUCUACCUAAGGCAGGAUCGAGUAAACCAAGGG